rnacentral:siRNA from 1 species
AUACCAAAUUGAAACAACCCGACCU